CUAUGAAUCCUCUCAUCUCUCAAACUCUCUUGAACUCUCUCGAAAUACUAGCCUCCCUCUACCUUCUUUCACCGAAAUCCAUGGCUUCUCAGGCCAUGGACGAUCUGCACUCACUCCUCUCCAUCUUUAAACCAUGGGUAUUUGAAGUUUUGGGGCCUAACCUCGAAGGUCCUCUCCCAGUUCUCAGAUCUACAGUUCUAGGG
rnacentral:lncRNA from 1 species